rnacentral:misc_RNA from 1 species
AAUUUCAUCUACUAACAAAUGGCUUACACCAGUCAAAUCUGGAUCUUGAACCAACUGCCGGAGUAAAACACCAGUGGUGCAAAAUAGGAGUCGUGUUUGAGCAGAACGUUUUGCCUCCAAGCGAAUCUGAUAACCAACAGUUUCACCAAGAUUCUCUCCCCGUUCAGAUGAUAUUCGAGCUGCAACAGAUAUGGCAGAUAUACGACGGGGUUGUGUGCAUAUUAUGCUGCAGUCAGCGCCACGCAGACUUGCUAUCUCCUCAUCUAAUACAUAUUGAGGUAGCUGUGUUGUUUUACCACAACCCGUCUCUCCUGAAAUAACUAAAACCUGAUUUUCAGAAACAGCUUUCAGAAACUCGCCUUUCACUUUGAAUGCAGGGAGCUUUUGCCUAAAAGACUGCAAUUCCUUCACACAAUUACUUGCCAUCAUUUUAUCCUGCCUCUGCUUUAAUUCAAUACUGAGUUUCUCCUUAGCAGAAUCCGGCUCCGAGGUAGAUACAGGUUUCGUUAUCUUUAGACCACUUGAUGGUUGUCUGUCCGCCUGACCAGAUGCUGCAGCAGAGUCAGCAGGUGCUGCUCUCUGCGAGCUGUUCAAAAGAUUUCCAACUCUCCUCUCAGUCUCAGUAGACAUUCGGAUCUCUUUCUGUGUGGAUCCAUGACGCUCAUCAAGAUCAGCCCGAUAAUUUGGCAAC